rnacentral:rRNA from 1 species
CCUACGGGUGGCAGCAGUGGGGAAUAUUGCACAAUGGGGGGAACCCUGAUGCAGCGACGCCGCGUGAGUGAAGAAGUAUUUCGGUAUGUAAAGCUCUAUCAGCAGGGAAGAACAUGACGGUACGUGACUGAGAAGCCCCGGCUAACUACGUGCCAGCAGCCGCGGUCAUACGUAGGGGGCAAGCGUUAUCCGGAUGUACUGGGUGUAAAGGGAGCGUAGACGGUUAUGCAAGUCUGAAGUGAAAGCCCCAGGCUCAACCAGGGGACUGCUUUGGAAACUGGACAACGGGAGUGCAGAAGAGGUAAGCGGAAUUCCUAGUGUAGCGGUGAAAUGCGUAGAUAUAAGGAGGAACACCAGUGGCGAAGGCGGCUUACUGGACUGUAACUGACGUUGAGGCUCGAAGGCGUGGGGAGCAAACAGGAUUAGAUACCCGAGUAGUC